GGAAUUAUUGGGCGUAAAGCGUUUGUAGGCGGGCGAGUGUGUUUAAUGUUAAAUCUUAAAGCUCAACUUUGAAAUUGCGUUAAAAACUGCUUGUCUUGAGUAUGGUAGGGGUAAAGGGAAUUCCCAGUGUAGCGGUGAAAUGCGUAGAUAUUGGGAAGAACACUAAACAGCGAAGGCACUUUACUAGGCUAAUACUGACGCUGAGAAACGAAAGGUAAGGUAGCGAAACGGAUUAGAUACCCGUGUAGUCUUACCCGUAAACUAUGGACACUAAACGGUAAAUUUUUAAUUUACUGUUAAAGCUAACGCGUUAAGUGUCCCGCCUGGGGAGUAUGCUUGCAAAAGUGAAACUCAAAGGAAUUGACGGGGGCCCGCACAAGCGGUGGAGCAUGUGGUUUAAUUCGACGGUACACGAAGAACCUUACCAGGAUUUGACAUGCUAGAUAGUUGCUUGAAAGAGUAACGUGCCGUAAGGAAUCUAGACACAGGUGGUGCAUGGCUGUCGUCAGUUCGUGUUGUGAAAUGUUGGGUUAAGUCCCGCAACGAACGCAACCCUUGUCUUUAGUUAUUUUCUAAAGAGACUGCCUGUAAUAAACAGGAGGAAGGUAAGGAUGAGGUCAAGUCAUCAUGCCCCUUAUGUCCUGGGCUACACACGUGCUACAAUGGGAAAGACAAUGAGCUGCAAAUCUGUAAAUUUAAGCAAAUCUCUUAAACUUUCUCGUAGUUCGGAUUGUGGGCUGCAACUCGCCCACAUGAAGUUGGAAUCGCUAGUAAUCGCCAGUCAGCUAUAUGGCGGUGAAUCCGUUCCCGGGCCU
rnacentral:rRNA from 1 species